rnacentral:misc_RNA from 1 species
UUGAGUUGAGUUGAGUUGUAUAUUCAGAAAUGUCACUGUAUUAUACUACCACCUUGAAAAUAUUUGAGUAGUUCAACUGAUGACUCAAUUUCCCAAGUUCAUUAGGUUCUACAUUUUAGGUGCAUCUCAGAUUGAGGUGCUAUUUGAACUCUAUUGGAGCAUAAAUGAAGUUUGAUUUCAUUCUGUGUGGGGUUUAUUGUAAUACUUAAUUUGUUAUUUGUAGUGAACAGGAUGAUUUGCUAUCUAUUCUCUCCCAACCAUGUGUUAUUUUUAUGCAUCAAAUUAAUUGUGGUAAUAGUAAUUAUUGAUUCUAAAAGCUCCAAUGCGAUCCUGCAGGAGCUGUCUUCAACUUUGUGAUGACUGAUAGGGAC